UUAAUUCAAUUAUUGAUUAAAAUAAAAUAAUCUCAUUUGUCUAUCUUUUUAAAACUCGCGCGCGCUUUUUAUUUUCGUAUCAAGGACGCCUUGUCACAAAUACACAAUGCAGUAAUACCAACCAAAUAGAGUUACGUUACGUCAUCAAGCGAUCAAUCCGGAAUCACAGUACUUACUUUCCAAAUAAUCUUCAAGGUACAACAUCCUGGUCAACUUUUUAAAAUGAUUCGAAGACCUCUAACAGAAAUAACUUUAAAGUUAGAUGAUUUACAAGAAUAUGAAAUAUUCCGUAGAGAACAAGCUAACUAUUUAGCAUCAGAAAUGCAAGACGACACUCCAAAAUCAUUAGCAGGAGCAGGAGCAGGGGCAACUAAAACAACCGAAGAAAUUCAUAAUAGAAUUGGUUAUGCUCCGAAAAAGAAACCUAGUGGCCCAAGCACUGUUUAAUUAAUGUGAAAAUAAAGCUUUAUAAAAUAA